CUGGCCUCCUCCACACAACUUCAACUGGACAUCGUGGUACUGUGAGAAACAGAAACACAGAGUUCAUAUUUGGGAACAAAGCAAGAGGAGUUUAAUGCACUGAGCACCAGGGUUUGGUGGGAGCUGCUGAGUUACAAGUGGUGACUGCAAGUUGGUCAGGAUGGCUGUCAGCAAAGGUAGAAGAGCCGAGCAAAGCAGAGACGCUGCAUUUCCCCUGGAGACAGAACAUCAUACCUGCAGACAACAACUAAUUCAGGGUCUGCAUUGAUUUGUGGCACAAGCAAGACAAACAUUUAUUGUUUUACUUUGCCAUCGUUGUUGUGGUAUUUUCUCUUACCAGUUCCAGUCCACCUUUUCAUCCAACCCGCCCGUCCGCUUCAGGAGACUGGACUGGAUCACAGAUAGCAGUUUAAUUCAGUAUUCAAAAUCAAAAUAAUGUUGUGACAUAUUCAAGCUGAAUAAGUAAUUGAGCAAAA